rnacentral:rRNA from 1 species
UACGUAGGGUGCGAGCGUUAAUCGGAAUUACUGGGCGUAAAGGGCGCGUAGGCGGGCUGGUAAGUCGGUCGUGAAAUCCCUCGGCUCAACCGAGGAACGUCGAUCGAUACUGCUGUUCUUGAGGAUUGCAGAGGAGACUGGAAUUCCCGGUGUAGCGGUGAAAUGUGUAGAGAUCGGGAGGAACACCGGUGGCGAAGGCGGCUCUCUGGGCAAUUCCUGACGCUGAGGCGCGAAAGCGUGGGGAGCAAACGGG